CCUACGGGUGGCAGCAGUGAGGAAUAUUGGUCAAUGGGCGCGAGCCUGAACCAGCCAAGUCGCGUGAAGGAAGACGGCCCUACGGGUUGUAAACCUCUUUUAUCAGGGAAUAAAGUGAGGCACGUGUGCCUUUUUGUAUGUACUUUAUGAAUAAGGAUCGGCUAACUCCGUGCCAGCAGCCGCGGUAAUACGGAGGAUGCGAGCGUUAUCCGGAUUUAUUGGGUUUAAAGGGUGGGAAGGUGGGGGUUAAAGUCAGUGGUAAAAUUUGGGGGCUAAACCGAAAACUGCCAUUGAUACUGGGAGCCUUGAGUGCAGUAGAGGUAGGCGGAAUGCGUGGUGUAGCGGUGAAAUGCUUAGAUAUCACGAAGAACUCCGAUUGCGAAGGCAGCAUACUGGACUGCAACUGACGUUGAUGCUCGAAAGUGUGGGUAUCAAACAGGAUUAGAUACCCUUGUAGUC
rnacentral:rRNA from 1 species